rnacentral:rRNA from 1 species
AUUGAACGCUGGCGGCAUGCCUUACACAUGCAAGUCGAACGGCAGCACGGGGCAACCUGGUGGCGAGUGGCGAACGGGUGAGUAAUGCAUCGGAACGUGCCAUUGAGUGGGGGAUAACGUAGCGAAAGUUGCGCUAAUACCGCAUAUUCUGUGAGCAGGAAAGCAGGGGACCGCAAGGCCUUGCGCUCUUUGAGCGGCCGAUGUCAGAUUAGCUAGUUGGUGAGGUAACGGCUUACCAAGGCGACGAUCUGUAGCGGGUCUGAGAGGAUGAUCCGCCACACUGGAACUGAGACACGGUCCAGACUCCUACGGGAGGCAGCAGUGGGGAAUUUUGGGACAAUGGCGCAAGCCUGAUCCAGCCAUGCCGCGUGAA